ACGGCCAUACCAUGCUGAAUAUACCGGUUCUCGUUAGAUCACCGAAGUCAAGCAUCAUUGGGCGCGGCCAGUACUUGAGUGGGGGACCACCUGGGAACACCGCGUGCCGUU
rnacentral:rRNA from 1 species